rnacentral:rRNA from 1 species
UACGAAGGGGGCUAGCGUUGCUCGGAAUCACUGGGCGUAAAGCGCACGUAGGCGGCUUUUUAAGUCAGGGGUGAAAUCCUGGAGCUCAACUCCAGAACUGCCUUUGAUACUGCAAAUCUCGAGUCCGGAAGAGGUGAGUGGAAUUCCUAGUGUAGAGGUGAAAUUCGUAGAUAUUAGGAAGAACACCAGUGGCGAAGGCGGCUCACUGGUCCGGUACUGGACGCUGAGGUGCGAAAGCGUGGGGAGCAAACAGG